GUGCUUGCUUUGGCAGCACGUAAAACUAAAAUGGAAGGAUACAGAGAUGAUUAGCAUGGCCUUAGAACAAGGACAACAGCAAAUUGAUGAAGUGUUUCAGUUUUUA